GAGUGAACGCUGGCGGUAGGCCUACCACAUGCAAGUCGAACGGCAGCCCAGUAAGAGCUUGCUCUUACGGGUGGCGAGUGGCGGACGGGUGAGGAAUACAUCGGAAUCUACUUUUUCGUGGGGGAUAACGUAGGGAAACUUACGCUAAUACCGCAUACGACCUACGGGUGAAAGCAGGGGAUCUUCGGACCUUGCGCGAUUGAAUGAGCCGAUGUCGGAUUAGCUAGUUGGCGGGGUAAAGGCCCACCAAGGCGACGAUCCGUAGCUGGUCUGAGAGGAUGAUCAGCCACACUGGAACUGAGACACGGUCCAGACUCCUACGGGAGGCAGCAGUGGGGAAUAUUGGACAAUGGGCGCAAGCCUGAUCCAGCCAUACCGCCUGGGUGAAGAAGGCCUUCGGGUUGUAAAGCCCUUUUGUUGGGAAAGAAAAGCAGCAGGUUAAUACCCCGCUGUUCUGACGGUACCCAAAGAAUAAGCACCGGCUAACUUCGUG
rnacentral:rRNA from 1 species